GGCAACUAAGCGUAUACCCAAUUGCAAGUGCAAAUACAGGUUUCACAUUAACCAAGGUCAGAGUAGCAACCACAGUAACCGUCCAAAAAUCUCAAGGAAACAUUCUAAUAUCGUUAAUGACCAACUGAAUUAAUUUUAAGCUAGCAUGACAACUAAAUUAUCUCUACCACAAAUACAAGACAACAUUAAGACAAAAUAAAAUAAAAUACUAGACCCCAAUAAGGCAACAAACAACUACCUAACACAGUUAAAUUAAAUUAAAUGCAAAACUAAAUUAAAGAAAUCAAAAGCAACUAAUCCUACUAAUUAAACUAAUUCAUACAAGUAAUAAUCAAACAUGUUUUUUCCUAAUCAUUCAUGUGACCAAAUACAUCCAACCAAAUAAAAUUAAAAAUGCAAAAGGCCUAAGGAAACCUCUUGGCCGUGAGUUACCAUGCACCACAUCCAAAUUUGAUUUUCUUUCUUCAUUAACCAAUUCCUUAUGCUAUCAUUUUGUCCCAUGUGCACCAUUUUCCAAGGAAAUUGAAAUGUGUCUUAAACAUCACUAUGAAAUUGUGCCUUUAUCCCUUUCCAUGCAGCAAAAACGAACUCCCAAAACCAAGGCACAAACUAACGUGAGCUAGAAAGAAGUUGCUACAAAAAAUGCUUCAAACCAAGGGGUAAAUGAAAAAUACUUUGAGUGCUUCACCCAGGGUGCCAUGUAAGCAAAGUCAAAGCAAAAUAAACCACACCAACAUACUCAUUCUCGGCAGAAUUGCAAGCUAGAGACAAAGCUUAAAAUGGAAACAUUCCUUUAGUCAAAAUAAGCAUCUCCUAUGUUUGCCCAAAAGUGGUAAAGAAAUUAAAUGCACCUUAUCUCUCCCUUCCAUUGCUCCAUUUCGGUUUCUCCACCAAGACAAACCUUCAAAACCUUUUCUUCAUCCAUCAUGAAUGUGAAUGCACCCCAAGAAACCAAGUUUUCAUUUCCAAAUAAUUACAAGAUCAACAAAGCCAAGUUCUACUACUAUAAACCAACCCGACACUCACUUUUCUUCAAACUUUUGCUAAAAACAAAAUGGAAUCCCUAGACCCCUUGCAAAACCGUCCAGCCACCAUCAUCAAGCACAAUGUUCUAGCUCAAAAUAUUGCUUCAAACCAUCAAACAAAAGCCCAAGAAGAAAUUGGUUCACACCUCAACACCCAUACACAAGCUCAAGCUUUGUUCACUUCCAAACUUAACAAGAACUUCAUUUUCAUGAUUCAACAAAGAAAACUAAAUGGAAAACCUUGAGUACUGCAGCAAAGGAGAAAGAAAACGCAAAAGCUCUUCAUUCAAAUCAAAGACCCACCAUGAAAAUGCAAGAAGAAACCUCAAGACUCAAGCUCAUGCUCUCAACUUCAAGGAACAAGAAAUAAAAGGGAAAAUGGGAAGGUUUUUCACCACCACCAAGCAAAGACAACCAAGAUUUAAGUAAGAGAAUAAGAAAAAUGCAUCAUUGAUUCAUUGAAGCUCAAAAACUGUGCACACCAAAGCUCUCCAUGAGAGUUCAUACAAAACCUAAGCAAAAUGAAAUGUAAAAGUGUGCCCAAAAAGUGUGUCUCGGCAAUUCCACUCUAAAUGCCGUCCCACACCCUAAAAAUUUUGGGGUCCACCUCUAAGAAACCCUAGGUUUUGGUGCCAAGUGUCCCUCCAAGUUUGGGCCUAUCAUAAAAUUUGUCAACAUUGGCC
rnacentral:lncRNA from 1 species